AUUGCAGAAGCCCAGGGACAGUUAUGAAUAAUUAAUUCAUAAUUGUUUAUGCCCGGGAAAUUCCAAUCAGCCAAAAGGGAAGCUUGAACUUGAAGGUCACAAACAUGUGCAAGAUUGCAGAUCCACGUUGCCUCGUCUGAUGUCAUGUCGUGCAGUGAGCAUGAGAAAAACAACCCUACUUUACCCUAGACUAGAAAAAAGACUGGAGGUCAGAAUGCAGGAUGAUUGAGCAAGGAGUGCUGGCAGAUGGACUAUUGAGGU